AUUGAACGCUGGCGGGAUGCUUUACACAUGCAUCGACGUACGAGAGGCGGACGGGUGAGUAAUGUAUUGGAAACUGCCCAGUAGCGGGGGAUCACUACUCGAACGAGUGGCUAAUACCGCAUCCUAUUGGAUCUGCCCAUAGGGGAUUAGCUAGUUGGUGGGGUAAAGGCUCACCACGGCGACGAUCCGUAGCUGGUCUGAGAGGACGAUCAGCCACACUGGGACUGAGACCCGGCCCAGACGCCUACGGGAGGCAGGAGUGUGGAAUUUGGGACAAGAGGGGAAACCCUGAUACAGCCAUCCCGCGUGUAUGAUGAAGGCCUUCGGGUUGUAAAGUACUUUUAGCAGAGAAGCGUUAUCUGCAGAAGAAGCACCGGCUAACUACGUGCCAGCCGCCGCGGUAAUUC
rnacentral:rRNA from 1 species